rnacentral:rRNA from 1 species
GACGUAGGGCGCGAGCGUUGUCCGGAUUUAUUGGGCGUAAAGAGCUCGUAGGCGGCUUGUUGCGUCAGCUGUGAAAACCCGCAGCUCAACUGUGGGCUUGCAGCUGAUACGGGCAGGCUUGAGUUCGGUAGGGGAGACUGGAAUUCCUGGUGUAGCGGUGAAAUGCGCAGAUAUCAGGAGGAACACCAGUGGCGAAGGCGAGUCCCUGGACGAUACCUGACACUGAGGCACGAAAGCUAGGGGAGCAAACAGG